AAGGGAGAGACUUUUUUACUAUUACUCCUCAGAACCUCAAAAGAUGAAAAAUUGCUUUGCUGGAGGCCACUUCUCUCUGUCUGCGUUCAUAUACAGAUGAUUUGUUUCAGUGCACAGGGACAUAUCCUGCAACAUUGAAGUUGAUGUGAAUUUUGCUGCUGAACAUAGGAAAAAGCAUUUUACUUCUGUGUUUGGUAAUUGACAUCACCAAGACUUUGGAGAAGUUUUACUCCUCUUUUUACGGAAAUUUUUUCUUGUAUUUUAUUCUUGGAGUCUAAUACCUCCAUCACAAGUGGUGUGUUGCUAUGCCUGCUACCCAAGAUUCUAUCCCUUAUGAAUUCAGGGAGAAGGCUACACACCGGAAAGGCGAAUGAAACCAGAACCUAUAGGAAAAUAAAUAAUUAAGACAGCAGAUUAGAAAAGGACACAACACACACACACAUACACACACAAACUAUUUAACAAAGUAGGUGUCUGAGACUAAUAAAUAAGGUCUGGGAAGGGGGGUUUCAGAUGAACUCAUAGCCCAGAACAGUCGUGGCUAUACUGGAUCCUCAACUUGUUGCUCUCUCAGCUGCUCCUUCCUCUCUGGCAUCUUUCCAGGGCAGAUGGUGCAGCUGAGGCUGCAUGGCCUGAGGCAGAGUGUUGCAGUAGCAUGCUGCUAGCUGGCUUAGCAAAAAUAAUUUUCCCUCUUAUUUAUUUAUUUAUUUAUUUUGUCUAUCCAUGCGGUAUAAGCUAGGGUCUAACUCUGGACUUACUGUUCUCCCUUGGUUGGCCCAGAGAGGAUCCAGAUUGUAAUAGUAUCAACGGGUCAUACCAUUUCUUUUCUUUCCAUGUUGGUCUGACAGAAGGACAGUCUUAGCAACGAUUUUUGGAGCAGUAAGGAUCACUUGUCUGUCAUAUUUUCAUUUUCCCCUCCCCAGAUGAAUUAACCAGACAGAAAGCCUGAACAGACAAAUUCAAGAACAGCAUUUUUACAAUGGAUGACUUUAGGAGUGUUAACAUGAUGUCACUGAGUUUGAACAGUAGUAAAGCUGAGCCCCAAAGAAAUAUGCAGCCUGUCUCAGGACGUGUUGAGACAUCCCCCUGCAGCUGUGAUGGGCUAUCAGCACAUCUCCACCCUUUCACCAGAGGCAACCUCUUAGAGGCAACUUUGUCUUCAGACUUCAGUUAUAUAUCAUCUGUUCUCAGCGAGUGUCAAAAGACCCAUAAGCUCUCUGCCUGUCUGCUGGGAACAUUGAUCCACUCACCACAGCUAAGUGCAAGAUACAAAGUUGUUUCUUCCCUUCUGUGUGCAUUCUCUCUCUCUCUUAAAAAAAAAAAAAAAAAAAAAGCUGUCAGGAAGGAUUUCAGAAGCUAUGAGCAGCAGAUCUUUGUGUACUUUAAUCCAUAA
rnacentral:lncRNA from 1 species